AGGACUAGAGAAAUCAAGCAUUUUUCCAGGCACAUGUUUAGAAAGUAGCUGAGACAACUACCACAAGGAAGAGGAUACAACUCAAAAGGGCAGAUGCUUAAGGAUCUAAAGAGGACCAAUGACAUGGGACUUAAAGGAGGCAGAUUUGCACCAAGCUGCCCAACGUGCUUUCUCUUCUAGAGUCAUUGAAGUCCCGUGACAAAACAAAAGCCAGGAUGAAUGUUGAUGGUCCAGCAUGCAGUGCAUGAUCUUGGCUUCUGCAAUGUCUAACCAAGCUCUCAAGGCUCCACAGUGCCUCCUUCAGCUGCCUUCUUAUCCUUUGGAACAAAUUGCUCUCGUCCAUCCCUUUCACUGGAAGAAGUCUCCACAUGCUUGGGGGCAGGCAUCCCCCUUACUCACUGAUGGCUUUGAAGUCUGUCCUGGGUCAGCCCAUCCACAUAUACAGUUUUGCUUAGGAUAUGGCCACUGCGAAUCCUGUAGCUUCUUGGAGUCAUGGGAUCAUUGUGAAGAAAGUACUUUGAGCAUUAUACAAAUGCAGGGAACUGGCAUUCAUGUGGAAUAGGAUUCUUGAGCUUGGAUCUCAUAUGUCUGGCUCUCUAUAAUCAAGAAAAUAACAAUUAGGAAGAUCAGGAAAAGCAAUCGAGUGCCAUCUUGAAUAAAGGGAAGGAUUCAAAGUUGCA
rnacentral:lncRNA from 1 species